rnacentral:rRNA from 1 species
UACAGAGGGGGCAAGCGUUGUUCGGAAUUACUGGGCGUAAAGGGCGCGUAGGCGGCCUUCUAAGUCGAACGUGAAAUCCCCGGGCUCAACCCGGGAACUGCGUCCGAUACUGGAAGGCUUGAAUCCGGGAGAGGGAUGUGGAAUUCCAGGUGUAGCGGUGAAAUGCGUAGAUAUCUGGAGGAACACCGGUGGCGAAGGCGACAUCCUGGACCGGUAUUGACACUGAGACACGAAGGCCAGGGGAGCAAACGGG